UACAGAGGUCUCAAGCGUUGUUCGGAUUCAUUGGGCGUAAAGGGUGCGUAGGCGGCGCGGUAAGUCGGGUGUGAAUCUCGGAGCUUAACUCCGAAACUGCAUUCGAUACUGCCGUGCUUGAGGACUGGAGAGGAGACUGGAAUUUACGGUGUAGCGGUGAAAUGCGUAGAUAUCGUAAGGAAGACCAGUGGCGAAGGCGGGUC
rnacentral:rRNA from 1 species